AAAAUAUUUACUUUAAUCUCGAAAAGGAACGGCACCCAGGGUUCCGUUCCUCCUGGAAUACACAGUGCCGUUCCUUAGGACAAAAACUUCCUAUAACACGAGGUGCCAACGUUAUGGCGUAUAGGCGCUUCCGGACAUACCAGUGCUGGAGCACGUCAAUAUCUCCGGGAACGCCUUGUCCGUACUUCAUCCCUUAACGUUCCGACACCUAACGAACUUAUACGAGCUUGACGUCGGUUUGAAUCGUAUGCUAGAAGUGGUCCCUGGUCUACCGAAGGACAUCGAACAUCUUCACAUGCCCAAGAACCGUAUUGUCGCGUUGCCAACGGUAUCCUCUCAGGAUCUAGCUCUACCUGGCUCUACCUGCCCUACGAUCAUUGGAUUUAAGCUCGAACGGGAUCGAGAGAAUUCCGCCUGGCGCCCUGGCUGACUUGCCGAAUUUGAGAAAAUUGAAUCUAGGCUAUAACGCUUUGAGACUCCUGGACGACGGCGUUUUCGACGAAUUCACGGGUUUGGAGCAGCUAGACUUGAGGUGCAACCGGCUGGUCACGUUGCACGGACGAAGCUUCCGACUUCUGAAAUCGUUGAUGGACGUGAAUUUUCAGGGCAAUCGAGUGGAGGUUCUGCGACCUGAUAUUUUUCAAGAGAAUACGAGACUGCAAAGAGUUGACUUGAGUAGAAAUAAUCUCGCACAAAUUCCUCACGCCACCUUCGCCAACACCAGAGAUUCUUGAUUAUAAACGCUAAUAAAGAAAAAAAACUUAUUAAGUUUAUAAAAAUUUUUUAACUAUAUCUUUAAAAUUAAAAAAGUUAAUCACAAUUGCUAUAAUAGCUGAAACUAUACAAAAAAAAGACAAUCGAAGAAAAUAGUAUAAAAGAGAAACGAAGAAAGCAUCGUAAAAUAUGGACACGUAAAUGGAUACUCAGAAGAAGUCAUAAUUUACGAGGCACAAUUAAUUUAGCCCAUCUAGAAUUGAGAAGCGAAGAUACUGAUUAUUUUCAAAGAUUUUUCCGAAUGAGACACGAUUUAUUUGAUCAACUUGUGGAACUAGUAGCACCCUAUAUACAGCGUCAAAACACUAACAUGAGAGAAUGUAUAUCUCCUAAAGAACGUUUAUCACUAACUCUGAGGUUUUUGGCUACUGGUAAAAAUUAUAAGAGUUUAGAGUACUCGACAAGGAUAUCAGCAUGUUCAAUUUCUCGGAUAAUUCCAGAGACAUGUCGUGUCAUAUACAAAGUUCUUCGAAACGAUUACUUGCGGGUACCAACUACAAAUGCUGAAUGGGAACAGAUUGCAAAUAAUUAUUUUGAAAUAUGGAACGUUCCAAACUGUAUUGGUUCUAUAGACGGUCGUCACAUAGAAUUUAAAGUACCACUUCAAGAUGGUUCGUUGUAUCACAACUACAAGGGUACAAAUAGUAUCGUUCUUUAUUUCUUUUAGCAUUAGUCAAUGCCAAUUAUCAAUUCACAUAUGUCAAUGUCGGUGUUAAUGGUAGGGUAAGUGAUGGUGGAGUGUUUCGUGACAGCGACUUAGCAUAAUUUUUAAAUGAUCCACGAAAUCCACUUGAUGUGCCUGGAGAUAAACCAUUACCUGAUAUGAAUGAACCCAUUCCUUAUGUUAUUUUAGCUGACGCAGCUUUUCCAUUGCAAAAUCAUAUACUAAAACCUUAUACAACACGAAAUUUAUCUCAUGAUGAGCGAAUAUACAACUACAGAUUAAGUACAGGUAGAAGAAUCGUUGAAAAUGCCUUCGGCAUUUUAGCAAAUAGAUUUCGCGUUCUUUUAACACAAAUAUAUUUACCAGUUGAAACUGUGCAAAAUAUUACCCUUGCAUAUUGUGCUUUACAUAACUAUCUUAGUAAAGAAAAUGGUGCUUAUUUACAUGGAGCUGUAGAUGUUGAAAAUUUAGAAAAUCGAACUGUAAUACAUGCUACGUGGAGAAAUAAUAAUGCGCAAUUACGCAAUUUAGAAAUUAAUAAAUGCAAUAUGCCUAAUAGAAAUGCAAUCUAUAUUCGCGAUAUUUUUAAAGAAUAUUUCAAUACCGUAGGAAAAGUUGAAUAGCAAGAAUUUAUGAUUUAACUUUCACACUUUUAUUAAAUUUUUUUGUCACAACUUCAAUUAUGAAUGGUUGUUCUGUUAAU